rnacentral:rRNA from 1 species
UACAGAGGUCUCAAGCGUUGUUCGGAUUCAUUGGGCGUAAAGGGUGCGUAGGCGGCGCGGUAAGUCGGGUGUGAAAUCUCGGAGCUUAACUCCGAAACUGCAUUCGAUACUGCCGUGCUUGAGGACUGUAGAGGAGACUGGAAUUUACGGUGUAGCGGUGAAAUGCGUAGAGAUCGGUAGGAACACCAAUGGCGAAGGCAGCUUGCUGGGCCAAAUCUGACGCUCAGGGACGAAAGCGUGGGGAGCGAACGGG